rnacentral:tRNA from 1 species
CGGGUGAUAGCGCAGCCUGGUAGCGCAUCUGGUUUGGGACCAGAGGGUCGUGGGUUCGAAUCCCUCUCGCCCGA